GAUCCUGGCUCAGGAUGAACGCUAGCUACAGGCUUAACACAUGCAAGUCGAGGGGCAGCAUGAUUGAAGCUUGCUUCAAUCGAUGGCGACCGGCGCACGGGUGAGUAACACGUAUCCAACCUGCCGAUAACUCGGGGAUAGCCUUUCGAAAGAAAGAUUAAUACCCGAUAGUAUAGUAUUUCCGCAUGGUUUCACUAUUAAAGAAUUUCGGUUAUCGACGGGGAUGCGUUCCAUUAGAUAGUUGGG
rnacentral:rRNA from 1 species